rnacentral:rRNA from 1 species
GAUGAACGCUGGCGGCGUGCCUAACACAUGCAAGUCGAGCGAUUUUGAAUAAUAACUGAGCGGCGGACGGGUGAGUAACGCGUGGGUAACCUGCCCUGUACAUAUGGAUAACAUGCUGAAAAGCAUACUAAUACAUAAUAACGUACAUUGAAGGCAUCUUCGAUGUAUCAAAGCGUUAGCGGUACAGGAUGGACCCGCGUCUGAUUAGCUAGUUGGUGGGGUAAAAGCCUACCAAGGCGACGAUCAGUAGCCGACCUGAGAGGGUGAUCGGCCACAUUGGAACUGAGACACGGUCCAAACUCCUACGGGAGGCAGCAGUGGGGGAUAUUGCACAAUGGGCGAAAGCCCGAUGCAGCAACGCCGCGUGAACGAUGAAGGUCUUCGGAUCGUAAAGUUCUGUUGCAGGGGAAGAUAAUGACGGUACCCUGUGAGGAAGCACCGGCUAACUACGUGCCAGCAGCCGCGGUAAUACGUAGGGUGCUAGCGUUAUCCGGAUUUACUGGGCGUAAAGGGUGCGUAGGUGGUCUUUCAAGUCGGUGGUUAAAGGCUACGGCUCAACCGUAUUAAGCCGCCGAAACUGGAAGACUUGAGUGCAGGAGAGGAAAGUGGAAUUCUCGGUGUAGCGGUGAAAUGCGUAGAUAUUGGGAAGAACACCAGUAGCGAAGGCGGCUUUCUGGACUGCAACUGACACUGAGGCACGAAAGCGUGGGUAGCAAACAGGAUUAGAUACCCUGGUAGUCCACGCCGUAAACGAUGAGUACUAGGUGUCGGGGGUUACCCCCCUCGGUGCCGCAGUUAACGCAUUAAGUACUCCGCCUGGGGAGUACGCACGCAAGUGUGAAACUCAAAGGAAUUGACGGGGACCCGCACAAGUAGCGGAGCAUGUGGUUUAAUUCGAAGCAACGCGAAGAACCUUACCUAAGCUUGACAUCCCUCGGACCGGUAGUUAAUCCUACCUUCCCUUCGGGGCCGAGGUGACAGGUGGUGCAUGGUUGUCGUCAGCUCGUGUCGUGAGAUGUUGGGUUAAGUCCCGCAACGAGCGCAACCCUUGUCUUUAGUUGCCAGCAUUUAGUUGGGCACUCUAGAGAGACUGCCAGGGAUAACCUGGAGGAAGGUGGGGAUGACGUCAAAUCACCAUGCCCCUUAUGCUUAGGGCUACACACGUGCUACAAUGGGUGGUACGGAGGGUUGCCAAACCGUGAGGUAGAGCUAAUCCCUUAAAGCCAUUCUCAGUUCGGAUUGUAGGCUGAAACUCGCCUACAUGAAGCUGGAGUUACUAGUAAUCGCAGAUCAGAAUGCUGCGGUGAAUGCGUUCCCGGGUCU